UACGUAGGUGGCAAGCGUUGUCCGGAUUUACUGGGCGUAAAGAGCGCGCAGGCGGUCGGAUAAGUCGAAUGUGAAAGCCCCCGGCUCAACUGGGGAGGGUCAUUCGAUACUGUUCGACUCGAAGGCAGGAGAGGGUAGUGGAAUUCCCGGUGUAGUGGUGAAAUGCGUAGAUAUCGGGAGGAACACCAGUGGCGAAGGCGACUACCUGGCCUGUUCUUGACGCUGAGGCGCGAAAGCUAGGGGAGUAAACAGG
rnacentral:rRNA from 1 species